ACCUGCGGAAGGAUCAUUACCGAGUGCGGGCCCCUCGGGGCCCAACCUCCCACCCGUGUUGCCCGAACCUAUGUUGCCUCGGCGGGCCCCGCGCCCGCCGACGGCCCCCCUGAACGCUGUCUGAAGUUGCAGUCUGAGACCUAUAACGAAAUUAGUUAAAACUUUCAACAACGGAUCUCUUGGUUCCGGCAUCGAUGAAGAACGCAGCGAAAUGCGAUAACUAAUGUGAAUUGCAGAAUUCAGUGAAUCAUCGAGUCUUUGAACGCACAUUGCGCCCUCUGGUAUUCCGGAGGGCAUGCCUGUCCGAGCGUCAUUGCUGCCCUCAAGCCCGGCUUGUGUGUUGGGCCCCGUCCCCCCCGCCGGGGGGACGGGCCCGAAAGGCAGCGGCGGCACCGCGUCCGGUCCUCGAGCGUAUGGGGCUUCGUCACCCGCUCUAGUAGGCCCGGCCGGCGCCAGCCGACCCCCAACCUUUAAUUAUCUCAGGUUGACCUCGGAUCAGGUAGGGAUACCCGCUGAACUUAAGCAUAUCAAUAAGCGGAG
rnacentral:rRNA from 1 species